rnacentral:lncRNA from 1 species
AAAUGCCCUGUGAAGCCAUAGAAACUGCCCCUGCCACAGAGCAGGAGUUGCUACAGCCCAGGCCAAGACAAGGUGGGAAACAGAAUCUGACAUCGCUGAAUCAGUAGCAGAGCGGAGGGCACAGGACUCCACACAGUGAGCCCCGCCAGCAGCAGCAAUGAAAGCAGACGAAGAAUCAGCUGAGAAAGUGAAACAAGAUGGAGUGGUAGACCAUGUCCAAAUUAGGUCAUUGAGCCGUUAUAGAGGUUACUACAAUCACCAUUAGGAAACCUAAAAAUACCCUCUUUGUCAUCCCAAGGCCAGAUGUCUACAAGAGCCCAGCUUCAGAUACCUCUACAUUUUGGGGAAGCCAAGAGCAAAGAUACAUCUCAGCAAGUACAGCUACCAGAUGCUGAGAAAUUCAAAGGUCAGGGUGAAGCCAAUUGUAGCACAUUAAAAAGCACAGAUUCCAAUAGUGCAAGAGGAGAUGAAGUGGUGAGGUGUAAUGAAACAAAUGUGGAAGUUAAGGGCAUAGAAUUUGUUAUGUCAUAAACAAAGGGGUGAUGAGCAAAGACAGUCCGAGUCCUGAGGAACAACAGUAAUGACACUAUAAAUGCUAUAAUGGAAUUAAAAAGGGAACCGU